GACAGAGGAUGCAAGCGUUAUCCGGAUUCACUGGGCGUAAAGGGCACGUAGGCGGUUAGAUUAGUCUGAUGUGAAAGACCUGGGCUUAACCUGGGAUGUGCAUUGGAAACGGUCUAGCUAGAGUUUGGGAGAGGGAAGUGGAAUUUCCGGUGUAGCGGUGAAAUGCGUAGAGAUCGGAAAGAACACUCGUGGCGAAGGCGGCUUUCUGGCCCAAAACUGACGCUGAGGUGCGAAAGCGUGGGGAGCAAACAGG
rnacentral:rRNA from 1 species